rnacentral:lncRNA from 1 species
CCUGAAGACGCCAACCUUUUCAAAAGGCGCGCGCAACUACGGCGCGGAGGUGCGGGGAACCUGGGCCUCAAGCGCCGAAGCCACUUGGUGAAGAAGGCCUGGAGCACUGGCCUUCGACCCGUCGUAGCUGGACGACCUGGGUUGGCGAUGGUGGCACCAGGCCCAAGGGAUUUGAUUUUCAAAAGGCGGAACGGGAGCGCUCCAUCAGAAGGCGCGGCCUGCCACCUGGACAAACGCGGUCUCCCCCAGAGCCCGGUUGCGCCCCAAAGCCGGGUUCCAUCCGAUCUCCGACAAAGACACUUCCUGAUUUGCCCCUCGCCAGACUCCAGCAAUUUUCUGGGUCCCCGGGAAGCUGAUUUCGCCUCUGGGCUUCCAUGAUUAGUGGCAGCUGGAGCGCUGCUCCCCAACCUGGGCCCACUUUAGGGUGUGUGGGGCAGGGAGGAGGGUGGGAUCACUCUUAAUCUCGUGUCACAGCUAAAUAAUUUACUCAAGGUCUUCUCUUCCUGCCAGUUCCCUUCCCUGUUCCACUGCCCUUGACUUCCUGCUUUGUGAAGCCCCGGGGAAAGAAA